rnacentral:rRNA from 1 species
UACGGGGGGGGCAAGCGUUGUUCGGAAUUACUGGGCGUAAAGGGCUCGUAGGCGGCCAACUAAGUCAGACGUGAAAUCCCUCGGCUUAACCGGGGAACUGCGUCUGAUACUGGAUGGCUUGAGUUUGGGAGAGGGAUGCGGAAUUCCAGGUGUAGCGGUGAAAUGCGUAGAUAUCUGGAGGAACACCGGUGGCGAAGGCGGCAUCCUGGACCAACACUGACGCUGAGGAGCGAAAGCUAGGGGAGCAAACGGG